rnacentral:tRNA from 1 species
GCAUCGGUGAUUCAGUGGUAGAAUGCUCGCCUGCCACGCGGGCCCGGGUUCGAUUCCCGGCCGAUGCA